UCCUUCGUAGCUAAGUUGGUUAAAAGCAUCAGUCUAGCGUACUGACAGUUAUGGGUUCGAGUCCCAUCGAAGGAA